AUGGCGGCGGCGGUGAGGGUGGAGAAGGCGACGAGCGACCUGCUGCUGGGGCCCGACUGGACCCUCAACAUCGACAUCUGCGACGGCGUCAACUCCGAUCACGGGCAAGCAAAGGAGGUGAUUAAAACUCUGAAGAAGCGUCUUCAACACAAGAAUUCAUCAGUUCAGUCUCUUGCAUUGACGCUGUUGGAGACUCUGGUGAAAAAUUGUGGGGAUCAUGUGCAUUUUCUGGUUGUAGAGCGCGGUAUAUUGCAAGAAAUGGUCAAACUUGCCAAGAAAAAGGCAAAUGUGCAAGUGAGGGACAAAAUUUUGACACUCCUUGAUUCUUGGCAAGAAGCAUUUGGUGGGCCUGGUGGGAAGCACCCUCAGUUCUACUGGGCAUAUUCUGAACUUAAGCAAUCUGGUUUAGAAUUUCCUAGGCGCUCACCUGAGGCAGCAACAAUAUUCGCCCCUCACCUUCAACCAGGGAUCGGGAGUCCAGCCAAUUCAUCCUUGAGAGCUGAUGGGAUGAUUUCAUCAAGUGGCUCUCCUCUGAGUUUGUCAGAUUUGCAACGAAUUUUAAGUGCCGCGGAGCUACUAAGUGAGAUGCUGAGAGAAGUGGAUCCAAAUGAUCAUGAGGCUGUGAAUGAUGAAAUUAUCGCGGAACUUGUGAACCAAUGCCGGUCAUACCAGAAAAAGAUCAUGAGUUUGGUUAGUUCAGUGAGUGAUGAGGACCUCUUGAGCCAAAGUCUCGACUUAAACGACAGAUUGCAAAUUCUGCUUUCCAAACACGAUGCAAUUGCAUCAGGUUCCCCUCUACCGGGUGAAGAAACGGAUGUGUUGAGUGAGUUGCCCAGAGGGAUCACUACAACCCCUGCAGCAACAGUUGUUCCCGAAACUGCCAUUGUACCAACUUUUGUCUUGGAUGAUGAAGAGGAAGAGGAGGAAGAUGAUGAGUUCUCUCAGCUGGCUCGCAGGCCGAAUUCGAGAUUCAGGUCAGCAAAUGAGAAGAGCGCCUCUUCAGGUGUAGGCGCAUCAUCGUCGUCCACGCAGGAUGGAACAGCAAGCUCAGCAGCUUCUGUGACCACUACAUCAUCACCAUCUACUUCAAGCAGUGCAUUAGCAUUGCCUGAUCAUCUAGCUCCUAUAAGGACUUCUCCAGAAGACAAGAUUAUGAGCGACCUCCUUGCGCUCACCAUAGUGUCAAGCCCAUCACCUGAACCUGCCUUGCAUCCUGGUGGUUCCCCAACCAGUUAUCAUCCACAGCCUCAUUAUGCAGACCCACAACACACAGCUGCAGCGCACAACAGCUACGUCGCUCCUUGGGCUCAGCAUCAACCUCAAACUGCACCCAUUAAGCAGCAGCAGCAGCAGCACCAACCACCACCUCAACCACAAUUUUCUUACAACCCAUCUCCUUACCCGCCACCACCAUGGGCCCCUCAGGACAACACCGAGUCAAACCCUUUCGUGGCAUCUUCAUCGCAGCGACUUUCUACUUCUAACUCGCCUCUUAAAGUACCGCCGAACAUGAGGCCCCUACAGCAAUCGCAAUCUUUUGGCGUACCGCUUCGAAGUGCCGCGUCAGAUUCACCGACAAACAAGAGCCUGAAGCAACCCAUGUCUGCAGGGUCUCGCCGACCGUCUUAUGUUCCUUCUAACAAGUUCUUUGAUGAUCUGCUUGAGAGAAAUGCGGAUGGUACUCUGAAAACGAGCAGUGGGGUAAUUGGAGGCACAUCCAGUCCAUACAAACCGUAG
rnacentral:rRNA from 1 species